ACAAAGCUUCUGUGAAAGUUUGGUCAAAAUCCAUUGAGAAAUGUAGGAGAAGUUGCGCACUGUAGAAAUUGUUCACUAUAUAUUCUGUAUAAGGAAAAAAUAUAUACAAAGGGCCAUAAUUCGGUCAAAUAUUAUCCAAUCACAAAACCCCAACAAUAUGUGCCAGGCACUUGAUAACAAAGCUUCUAAGAAAGUUUGGUCAAAAUCCGUUGAGAAAUGUAGGAGGAGUUGCGCACAGAAGAAAUUGUUCACUAUAUAUUCUGUAUAAGGAAAAAAAAACAAAGGGCCAUAAUUAGGUCAAAUAUAUAACCAAUUGCAAAACCCUGGCAAUAUGUGACAGGGCACUUGAUGACAAAGCUUCUGAGAAAGUUUGGUCAAAAUCCGUUGAGAAAUGUAGGAGGAGUUGCGCACAGAAGAAAUUGUUCACUAUAUAUUUUAUAUAAGGAAAAAAAACAAAGGGCCAUAAUUAGGUCAAAUAUUAUCUAAUCGCAAAACCCCGACAAUAUGCGCCAGGGCACUUGAUGACAAAGCUUCUGUGAAAGUUUGGUCAAAAUCCGUUCAGAAAUGUAGGAGGAGUUGCGCACAGAAGAAAUUGUUUA